AUAAUCAAUUGUUUUUUAAUUGAAAACUUGUAUGAAAGAAUUGAUGAGAUAGAAAUUGUUUCGAUAGUUAAAAAUGAAUUUAAAUUUUAAGUUAAAAUGCUUAAAUUUAUUUAUUAGACGAAAAGACCCUAUAGAAUUUUAUAAAAUUAAAUUAAAGUAAAUUCAAUAUAAGAUUAAUUAUUUUAUUUUAUUAUAUUUAGUUGGGAGGAUUAUAAAAUUUAAUAAACUUUUAUUUUUUAUAUAGACAUUGAUUAAUGAAAAUAUGGAUUAUUAUUAUAAUUAAAAGAGAAAAUUACCUUA
rnacentral:rRNA from 1 species